rnacentral:rRNA from 1 species
GGCUCAGGACGAACGCUGGCGGCGUGCUUAACACAUGCAAGUCGAACGGAAAGGCCCUUCGGGGUACUCGAGUGGCGAACGGGUGAGUAACACGUGGGUGAUCUGCCCUGCACUUCGGGAUAAGCCUGGGAAACUGGGUCUAAUACCGGAUAUGAUCAUCGGCUUCAUGGUCGGUGGUGGAAAGCUUUUGCGGUGUGGGAUGGGCCCGCGGCCUAUCAGCUUGUUGGUGGGGUAAUGGCCUACCAAGGCGUCGACGGGUAGCCGGCCUGAGAGGGUGUCCGGCCACACUGGGACUGAGAUACGGCCCAGACUCCUACGGGAGGCAGCAGUGGGGAAUAUUGCACAAUGGGCGCAAGCCUGAUGCAGCGACGCCGCGUGGGGGAUGACGGCCUUCGGGUUGUAAACCUCUUUCAGCACAGACGAAGCGCAAGUGACGGUAUGUGCAGAAGAAGCACCGGCCAACUACGUGCCAGCAGCCGCGGUAAUACGUAGGGUGCGAGCGUUGUCCGGAAUUACUGGGCGUAAAGAGCUUGUAGGUGGUUUGUCGCGUUGUUCGUGAAAUCUCACGGCUUAACUGUGAGCGUGCGGGCGAUACGGGCAGACUAGAGUACUGCAGGGGAGACUGGAAUUCCUGGUGUAGCGGUGGAAUGCGCAGAUAUCAGGAGGAACACCGGUGGCGAAGGCGGGUCUCUGGGCAGUAACUGACGCUGAGAAGCGAAAGCGUGGGGAGCGAACAGGAUUAGAUACCCUGGUAGUCCACGCCGUAAACGGUGGGUACUAGGUGUGGGUUUCCUUCCUUGGGAUCCGUGCCGUAGCUAACGCAUUAAGUACCCCGCCUGGGGAGUACGGCCGCAAGGCUAAAACUCAAAGGAAUUGACGGGGGCCCGCACAAGCGGCGGAGCAUGUGGAUUAAUUCGAUGCAACGCGAAGAACCUUACCUGGGCUUGACAUGCACUAGAAACACCUAGAGAUAGGUGCCCCCUUGUGGUUGGUGUGCAGGUGGUGCAUGGCUGUCGUCAGCUCGUGUCGUGAGAUGUUGGGUUAAGUCCCGCAACGAGCGCAACCCUUGUCUCAUGUUGCCAGCACGUAAUGGUGGGGACUCGUGAGAGACUGCCGGGGUCAACUCGGAGGAAGGUGGGGAUGACGUCAAGUCAUCAUGCCCCUUAUGUCCAGGGCUUCACACAUGCUACAAUGGCCGGUACAAAGGGCUGCGAUGCCGUGAGGUGGAGCGAAUCCUUUCAAAGCCGGUCUCAGUUCGGAUCGGGGUCUGCAACUCGACCCCGUGAAGUCGGAGUCGCUAGUAAUCGCAGAUCAGCAACGCUGCGGUGAAUACGUUCCCGGGCCUUGUACACACCGCCCGUCACGUCAUGAAAGUCGGUAACACCCGAAGCCGGUGGUCUAACCCCUCGUGGGAGGGAGCCGUCGAA